CUCUCUGAAUCUGCAAACUGACCAGCAGACUGAGUGGAAAUAAAGCCAAUUAAUUUUUAUUGGAAGUACUGCAUACAGAGCUGGAACCCCCGGUAAAAGAAAGGCGCAGAGCUCUUGGAUCAAGAGGAGGGCCACUAAGAUGAUCAGAGGGCUGGAGCACCUCUCGUGUGAAGAAAGGUGGAGAGAACCAGGCUUGUUUAGCUUGGUGGAAAUCUGGACGGCUUCCCAGCCCCCUUGCCGACAGCUCCACCGCGGUCACCACGGUUGGCUGCACCUUCCUCUCUGGAGCGGUGCGAGCAUCGAGCCCUAGGGAGUGCAGACACUUCCCGGAGCUCCUGCAGAGACACAGCAGCAUACAGGAUCAGCCUCAGUCCCUGGGGCCUUCCUUCAGCUCCCUGCUCCCGCUCCUCUCCUCUGCCGGCCUGUCAGCACUGCUUUGCCCCUGAAGGACCAGGAGCCCCAAAGCCAGUGAUCCACAACUCGUGGCAAACAGAGGCCGUAUUCCUCUCUCACAGCCCCUGUGUGUGCUGUGGCAGGUGGCAGGCCAGGAGGUGAGAAGAGACAGGGAAGGUGUGCAGCACCCCCCAUCUACCGAAGAGGAGCUGAAGGAGCGGACAGAAAUGUGAAAUGAUGGCACCCGAAGGGCUGUGCUCCAGAUCACUGCACACACAGAGGCUUUUGCUUCCCUCCCUGUGGAAGCACUCAAGGCCAGGCUGGGUUGGGCUUAGAGCAACCUGGUCUAGAGACAGGUGUCUCUGCCUGCAGCAGGGGAUUGGAACCAGGUGAUCAGAACGGUCCUUUCCAAGCCAAACUUUUCUAUGAUUCUACCAUUCUGUCAUUGGUGCAAUCUCAAGCAGCACAGUCCCUGCAGCAAGGCAGAGCCAGUACCUGCAGCACUCUCUUAGAUUCCUCGGUGGCAGGGAGUGCAGUGCUGGUCUGUGCAGUAGACGCCUCCUUCUGUUCUCCUGUCUUUGUCCUGCGGAAGCUGCCUGCACACGGUGGGAGCACGCUGCAAACAGACACAAGAGGAGUCUGCAGGAGCCCGGGGCACCUUGGUCUCCCCGUGCUCCCACAACCGUAAAGAUGGGCUCUGGCGCAAGACGCCUGGAGAGAUGCCUGAAGGGAGAAGAGCUUCUGCCAUCAAUAGGGAUCAGCACUCAGCUCCCCCAGGGACCGGGGACCAGGGUAGAACAUGAAGCUGGUGUGUCUGCCUCGGGAAAUCGUGCUGCGCGCUUGCCGUCCCUGGAGAGAACAGCCCCCCUGGGACACACGUGUGUCAGGAGCCUUUCUGGGUGCCGAGAGCUGGCAGCUCCGAAGGGGAGGCCGCUCCUACACGAGCGCACGCAUCUCCUUCUUUUUGCUGAAGGCCCUCACCUGGUAGGAGGCUCCUUUGCCAACUUUUGCUGCCUUGAGCCUGGCUCGUGCUGCAGCAGCAUGGGGGGGGUAAGUGUCUUCCGCUUUGGCAGCAGCCUGCCGGCAGAGACUCCUGCAACCAAGAGAGAAAGAAAUUCUUCAGAGCAGCCCCACGGGCACGGCACGUGAACCUGGAUCCGGUCACCCGGCACAGGACAGGGCCCCCCUCCCCACAGCUGGGACCCGCUCCCUCACCUCUACUCAUCUUCCGCUCUGUUGCGGAUUUCUUGUCUGCAGCAGCCUCUGCUCUGCUCUUUUCCACAGUGAGCUGAAACCUGGAAACAGAGAGUGACAACCCUUGAAGAAGGAUGACCUCCUACCCCACGCAACUGGUCAGCGGUAUUUAUCUCUGUGCUAUGCAAAGCGUGGCACCCUUUUCCUUCCUGGCCAUGCCAAACCAGCACAUGUAGCCUAAAUUCCUCUGCAUGUGCAGUCCGUUCCCUCUGAGGGGAAUCGGGACAGCUUGGGCACCAGUAACACAACCGCGAUCCCCCAUCGCUCCGGGAGAAGACACACACAGCCGAAAAGCAGCAGUAGUUAACCAGGAGCCAGACUUUCCAGGAUUUUUCCCCAGCUAGAUGCUGAGCACAGAGACCCAGCAGGGCAUGUCCCAGAGGAGGAGGUGGGAAGGAAGCCUGUCUGCUGGCCAGCUAAGAGCUGCAGAGGAAACGCACUCACCUCGGGAACAAGCGGAUCCCACGGGCGGUGGUCUCUGGCCCGAAGUCAGCAAGAUCUUCCGUCCAGAAUCUCUGCAAAGGGACACAGACCUGCUGGAGGCUAGCCAAGGCCAUUUCUUCAUGGCUCUUGUUGACAGGAAGCAAACCUGGCUCCUGUGCCAAGAGAAAGCUGCUCUCCACCAAAGCCUCGUCUGUGAACAUCAGAGCUUUGUUCUGCUCUGAAGGAGCAGGAUGGCAAAAUAGUGAGGCCGUGCAAGAGCACUGCCAGGCAGGGGCAGAGAUCCAGGAAAUCCCUUUGCCCGUGGAGAAAGCCAUGGGGGCAAGCGUGGGGAAAGGCAUUUGACUGGCCUGCCACAUCCAGGCUGGCCAGCAGUGAUCCGAUGGUGCACCUCACAACCUCCUCAACUUACGGUGUGGAUCAGUGCGAGGACGGGGGCAUUGCUCUCCAGCGUUUCAACGCAGCUGCAGAAGAACCUCAUGCAGAGGAAGUUGUCUUGGCAGGUCAUAACGCCGAGGUUCUUGAACACGAACGGGACGGGCGUCUUGUUCCUCAGGAGGUGACAGUAGAAGAGGACGCUCUCCCGCACGCAGCGCGGCACCAAGUGCAGCGGGACGCCAGAGGCUCGCGAGAGCUGCCGGUAGUUGAGCGGCUCAAUCUUGAUGCUGUCUGCAAGGAGAAGUCACAUCCUCACUGCCACAGCCAGCCCAUGCAGCAUUCAUAACCAAAUCCACAGAAAAGGUCCUUUAAAGAACACAGCCGGCCGGACGUGGGGCAGGAAGGGGAAGGUGGCUGCUGCCUUCUUACCAGGGAUGAUGUCGCUGGGAGACUGGAGGUCUGGCAGCCACAGCGCCCUGAUAUCCAGUUCGAAGACGGGUCUUCGGACUGGAAGCGCCUCUUCUUUGCUGUGGAGUUGCUCUCGGACCCCAGCAAAGAUCCCGAGUUCCGGAACCAGGACGCCCUGCACAGGGAAAAGACAGGCUGAUGAGCAUGUACUUUAGGGGCGGCAAAAGCCACGAACAUCAGGAGCGUGGUGUCACUGCU